AACCUUGCUUGGUUGAAUUUGAUGCUUCCACAGAUGAAGAAAAUGUGAAGCAUUAUGAGGUUAUAAUGCGCAACAAGGUGAUGAUCGGAGAACGGUUUGCUAUUGCUAACCGCGAAAUCAGAAGUUUGUGUUAAACAAAUGGCACUUGCCUCUAUAAGAAAGGUACCGGACGUUGCGCUUCCCUCCACACCUCCACAGGUCACUCGCAUCGUCACACAAAACCAUUAUCGGCUCGGCGCCUCUCACCAGCAUUCCUGUGUGCGCUGCGCGCGUCGUGCGAUACCAUGGACAGGCAGGACUACGACAACGGCCAGAGGAAGAAACCCCAUGGAAACCAGUACCCUAGGAGGGGCGGGAUCAUGAAAGGGAUCUUCCAGGACUGGAUCGGCAAGAAGGCCCCAACGAGGCCUGGCGGCGGCGGCAACGAUGGUUACGACAACGGCAAAGGGGGCGACGCCGGCGGCGGCGGCUCCAACGCUGAUGGCUACGGCGCUUACUGACGCAUGAUGCGUGCGCGCGUGGUUGCGUACGCGGGAGCGAGCCCCGGAGAUGGUUAGUUGUUGCUUAUGUUGGGUUGCAGCUGGUUUGCUUCUAUGCGGCUGCUAAGUGUAUCGAUCGUGUUGGGUGGAGGAUCCUGCUGUUCUUGUGUUCCUUGGUUGUGUGCUUUGUGGUCAAUAACUCUGGAGUUAUUAAUCCAUGGGGUCGUGCUUUUGGAUCUGA